AUUGAACGCUGGCGGCAGGCCUAACACAUGCAAGUCGAACGGUAACAGGAAGCAGCUUGCUGCUUCGCUGACGAGUGGCGGACGGGUGAGUAAUGUCUGGGAAACUGCCUGAUGGAGGGGGAUAACUACUGGAAACGGUAGCUAAUACCGCAUAACGUCGCAAGACCAAAGAGGGGGACCUUAGGGCCUCUUGCCAUCGGAUGUGCCCAGAUGGGAUUAGCUAGUAGGUGGGGUAACGGCUCACCUAGGCGACGAUCCCUAGCUGGUCUGAGAGGAUGACCAGCCACACUGGAACUGAGACACGGUCCAGACUCCUACGGGAGGCAGCAGUGGGGAAUAUUGCACAAUGGGCGCAAGCCUGAUGCAGCCAUGCCGCGUGUAUGAGGAAGGCCUUCGGGUUGUAAAGUACUUUCAGCGGGGAGGAAGGGAGUAAAGUUAAUACCUUUGCUCAUUGACGUUACCCGCAGAAGAAGCACCGGCUAACUCCGUG
rnacentral:rRNA from 1 species